GUACUUUAUUUCUGAUAGGUUUAGUGUUUCUCGAUUCUUUCUUUGAUUUUUGCAUUUGUUUCUUGGUAAUGAGAAUUUGAUGGAUAUUUGUUACUUUUUCUAUUCUCUUGGAUAGGCUCUUGCUGGAUUUUAUACAUGCAUGCCACUAUUAUUUCUAUUUCCACAUGUAUGUUUGGAAAUAGAUAUGUAGGUGCAUGCUUGAGAUACAUAAUUGUUUCUAAUUUUAGUUGAGAAAGAUGGUACUUUGAACUGGAGCCCAAGUUCCGUUCUUGGAGCAGUGUUAUUGGACUUUACCAUUUGGUCUCUUGGCAUGAUUAUUCUUCUUCUAUAUUUUUUAUGUAGUACUUGUGCUCAUUGCAGUUCUCCAUUUAGCAAGAUUGAAGCGAAAUACUUUCGGAGUGUUUUAGAGAAAAUAUUGAAGAAAAGCAGUUCCGCAACCAGGAUUGUUUUUAUUUCCUAUCGAUUUGUUUUUUUCAGGAUCAUUGCAUCGAUAUUUUUGUUUACCUUUUUCGUGGAUUUUACUCUUCCUCUUCCAGUAAGGUUAUCCAUCUGUUGUAUACCUGUUUACCCGAAAAAUAGAUAGAGUUGAAUUUGUACGUAGUUCUAAGGUUAUGUGGUAUAACUUGACACAAAUCGUAAAGAGUAAGUAGAAAUAUCGAAUAUUGACUAUAAGAAAAGAUACAAACCCAGUUGAAAGGAACAUGAUUUGUGAACAAGCAAAAUGGAAUUAUGUGUGAAGCUAAAAAGGAUAAUCUCCCAAUAUGAUUAUGUAUCAAUAGUAUUCGAGUUACAGUGUAUUGAUAAUGUGAUCCCCUUACAGAAAUAAUAGUCAUCCCUCUUAUAGUGGAGGGAUCCUACUUUAGAUAUCAUAAAAAAUACAUAGUGGGAAACCCAUGAUAAAUCAGCUUUUCCCUAAUUUCCGCCGAGAUUCUCUCUCUUAGUGCGGCUUUAACGGCUCUUGUCUCUUGGCUCGAUCUUGAUUGGACUCGGUAUUGGUCGGUUUCCAGGUUUAGAGCUCGAUGCGGGUUUGAGCUCGAUGCCGACUCGGGGCCCAGCAUUGAUUCGGGCUCGGUGUCGGUUGGUCUCUGGCUCUGAAGCUUGAUACCAUCGCUUCUCAUCAUAGCUCGAUUUGGACUCGAGCUCGAUAAUGAUGUCGAACUCGGUAUUUAAUCUGACCCCGAAACUCGAAGCUCGUUCGUGCCUUCUUCAAAUCUCACCUCGAUAUUAUGAAGACGCUCUUCGAUCCGUCUUCACCGAUCGUACGAAGGUCGAAACGGUUUUGACCGUAUACAAUACCUUUUAAGUUUAAAAGAUUGAGCUUUCAGGUUGCUUACAUAUCCCAUGCAUGACAACUAAUUUGUAUAGAGGAUUCAUGACAAUCAUGGAUUAGCAGGUGCUUCAAUAUGUUUAUGGAAUUCUAUUACACUGCCAAAACGUAAGCAAAUGUUUCUGAACUCUCAAAAUUAAUUUAGAAAAUAGUUCUUUUGAAAGAAAAUGGAAGAUGUUUCCUUUAGUACUUUUUUUGUUUUGUUCUUUUAACACAAAACAUGCUGUAAACAGAAAUUAUCUUUUUCCUUAUCGCAACAAUGAUAUUUCCUUGGUAGAGACCAUUCUCAUGGCAAUGCAGCAUGUAUCAACUGGAACUCAUUUCUCAAUCCAUAGCCAGUAGAAAUAGUCAAAGGAGUGUGAAAAUGGUAAUUCAAGCGCUCAUCUAAGGUCCUACAGCAUACUCACUUCGCAUCUGGAAUCCAGAAGGAAGGUCAUGUUGUGCGCUAGAAAUAUCUUUGCGAGUAUUGUGAGACUUGCAACUUAUCAAGUCCUUGGAAGCAUACGUGAAAGGCAAUACGGCAAGUGCUAGCUACUUCUUAGCUGGUGCCAAAAAUUGCCACUGAAAAAGUUUGAUAGGAUGACCAAGAGGAAGCUCCAAAAAAGAAACCACAGACAAUUCAUGAUCCUUUGUUCACUGAUUGUAACAAAAUCAAGAUUAAAAAGAGGAAGAGGAAAUAGGAGUGUCAACAAAAGGUGAGGAGCAUAAAUAUACUCUUCUAUUGAACUGCAUAGUCUUUGAAAUAAUCUAGGAUGAACAUUCCUGAAACAAUUAUGGUACUUGUAUUAUAUAGGGCAUGCAAAUAAUUUUGUUAUUGUGUUACCAUUCCUAUUGAGGCUUCUCGCUCAUUAUCUUUUGGACAUGUUAGUAUAGCUUUCAAAUGGUUGUUGUGACUUAAUGAUGAUUUUGUCUAUAAAUGAUAAAAUGGUUCUAUUUUCAUAGGCUAAUAACCCAUAAUCUUAUGAACUUGCUAUUCACAAAAGUGGUAAUCACAUAGGAUUUCUCUAGCUUUGAAUCUUCUUUAAAGGUUUCAUAUAUUUGUGCAUGCACAUGAUGACAGAUCAUUGAUGGUGCUGACUGUAUACUGAGCCCAAGUUCAUUGGUAACUUGUGGUCUCAUUAAAUAAACUUCUCAUUGCUCAAAAUGGAUUAUCCAUCUUACUGCUUUCCUGUUGUGUUACAGUUGCUAAAAAGAACAUGAAUGAAAGACUUUGGUAGAGUUCUUCACAAUAAGAAAUUUAAUUUAUGAGAUGUAACUAAGGGGAAGUUUAUAAGUUUUUUUAUGAGGAGCAUCAGUUUCACUUCACUAACAUUGUUAGCCAAUUUAUUUGUGUAAGUUAACAGCUGUGUACAGGGAUGCAAUCAGGGAACUAAUGGUGUAGUCCUUGGAGUAACAAGCAUGUCCAAAUUAUGUCGCCUUUCUUGGUGGACGCAGUAUCAGUCCUUCCUGUCUACUUUCAUUUGACAUGACACCUCAUAUGAUCGUGUAGUCUUUUAGAUGAUCUGUGUGUAUUAUUCAUAGAGGGUGCCUUUUAUUUUUUAUCUCGAAACUGACAGAAACUGCCAUAGUUCAUUUACUUCCUUUUGUGUUAGGUUGUUUUGUCAUUACUCAACCAUAUAUAUAUGUAUUUUUUUGAUCAGUAAUCAUGUUGACUUAUUUGAAUUUAUGAAUGAUACAAUUCUAAGA